AGCUCGAUCAUGGCUCAGAUUGAACGCUCGGCGGGAUGCUUUACAUGCAAGUCGAACGGCAGCAUUGACUUCGGUCUGGUGGCGAGUGGCGAACGGAAGAGGUGACACGUACUGAACGUGCCUAGUAGCGGGGGAUAACUACGCGAAAGCGUAGCUAAUACCGCAUACGCCCUUCGGGGGAAAGCGGGGACCUUCGGGCCUCGGUACCUAUUAGAUGUGGCUGACGAUUACAUAGUUGGUGGGAAGUAAUGCCCACCAAGGCGACGAUCCGUAGCUGGUUUUGAGAGGACGACCAGCCACACUGGGACCGAGACACGGCCCAGACUCCUACGGGAGGCAGCAGUGGGGGAAUUUUGAUAAUGGGGGAAAUCCCGAUCCAGCCAUCCCGCGUGUGCGAUGAAGGGCCUCGGGUUGUAAAGCACUUUUGGCAGGAAAGAAACGGCACGGGAUAAUACCCCGUGCAACUGACGGUACCUGCAGAAUAACACCGGCUAACUACAGCAGCCGCGGUAAUACGUAGGGUGCAAGCGUUAUUAAUCGGAAUUACUGGGCGUAAAGCGUGGCGCAGGCGGUUCGGAAAGAAAGAUGUGAAACUUGAGAGCUUAACUUUUGAACCGGGUAUUUUUAACUACUGAGCUAGAGUGUGUCAGAGGGAGGUGGAAUUCCGCGUGUGUGCAGUGAAAUGCGUGGAUAUGCGGGAGUGAACACCGAUGAGAGAAGGCAGCCUCCUGGAUAACACUGACGCUCAUGCACGAAAGCGUGGGGAGCAAACAGGAUUAGAUACCUUCCUGGUAGUCCACGCCCUAAACGAUACCAACUAUGUUGCUAGCCCGGCCUGGUAGCGCAGCUAACGCGUGAAGUUGACCGCCUGGGGAGUACGGUCGCAAGAUUAAAAACUCCAAAGGAAUUGAUUGGGACCCGCACGCGGUGGAUGAUGUGGAUUAAUUCGAUAAAACGCGAAAAACCUUACCUACCCUUGACAUGUCUGGAAUCCCGAAGAGAUUUGGGGAGUGCUCGCAAGAGAACCGGAACACAGGUGCUGCAUGGCUGUCGUCAGCUCGUGUCGGGAGAUGGUUGGGUUAAGUCCCGCAACGAGCGGGCCUCGCUACAGCGCUGCCGAAAGGGCACUCUAAUGAGACUGCCGGUGACAAACUGGAGGAAGGUGGGGAUGAUACGUCAACAAGCUCAUGGCCCUUAUGGGUAGGGCUUCCUUCGGUCAUCAUAACAGGUCGGACACAGGGGGUCGCCACCCAGGCGAGGGGGAGCCAAUCCCAGAACCUGAUCGAACGUCCGGAUCGCAGUCUGCAACUCGACUGCGUGAAGUCGGAAUCGCUAAUCGAUCAGCAUGUCGCGGUGAAUACGUUCCCGGGUCUUGUUACCACCGCCCGCCUGACCAGCGGGAGUGGGUUUUGCAUCGGUAGUAGUUAGCCUAACCGUAAGAGGGCGAUUACCACGGUAGGAUUCAUGACUGGGUGAAGUCGUAACAAGGUA
rnacentral:rRNA from 1 species